CGAGGGGUAUAGGUUUUCGGACCUAGAGACCGGCGCACGGGUGCGUAACGCGUAUGCAAUCUACCUUUCACAGAGGGAUAGCCCAGAGAAAUUUGGAUUAAUACCUCAUAGUAUAGUAUAACCGCAUGGUUGAACUAUUAAAGUCACAACGGUGAAAGAUGAGCAUGCGUCCCAUUAGCUUGUUGGUAAGGUAACGGCUUACCAAGGCAACGAUGGGUAGGGGUCCUGAGAGGGAGAUCCCCCACACUGGUACUGAGACACGGACCAGACUCCUACGGGAGGCAGCAGUGAGGAAUAUUGGACAAUGGGCGCAAGCCUGAUCCAGCCAUGCCGCGUGCAGGAUGACGGUCCUAUGGAUUGUAAACUGCUUUUGCACAGGAAGAAACACUCGGACGUGUCCGAGCUUGACGGUACUGUGAGAAUAAGGAUCGGCUAACUCCGUGCCAGCAGCCGCGGUAAUACGGAGGAUCCAAGCGUUAUCCGGAAUCAUUGGGUUUAAAGGGUCCGUAGGCGGUUUGGUAAGUCAGUGGUGAAAGCCCAUCGCUCAACGGUGGAACGGCCAUUGAUACUGCUAGACUUGAAUUAUUAGGAAGUAACUAGAAUAUGUAGUGUAGCGGUGAAAUGCUUAGAGAUUACAUGGAAUACCAAUUGCGAAGGCAGGUUACUACUAAUGGAUUGACGCUGAUGGACGAAAGCGUGGGUAGCGAACAGGAUUAGAUACCCUGGUAGUCCACGCCGUANACGAUGGAUACUAGCUGUUGGNAGCAAUCUCAGUGGCUAAGCGAAAGUGAUAAGU
rnacentral:rRNA from 1 species